UAGGUGGCGAGCGUUAUCCGGAUUUACUGGGUGUAAAGGGCGUGUAGGCGGGACUGCAAGUCAGGCGUGAAAACUGGGGGCUCAACCUCCAGCCUGCGUUUGAAACUGUAGUUCUUGAGUGAUGGAGAGGCAAGCGGAAUUCCGUGUGUAGCGGUGAAAUGCGUAGAUAUACGGAGGAACACCAGUGGCGAAGGCGGCUUGCUGGACAUUAACUGACGCUGAGGCGCGAAAGCGUGGGGAGCAAA
rnacentral:rRNA from 1 species